CCUUGCAGCGGAGCACGUGAACUUAACCACUGGGGCACGGGGCCAGCCCCGUCAAGGCUUCUAAAAUGGGGUUUAUGCACGUACAACACGUCUCUGCCCAGAUGGAUUGUAACUUUUGAACAAUGCUUCACUGUGGUCAUCUUGACCUCCUUUCAAGAAAUAUGCUUAUCCCAUAGAUAAAAUCUUUUUGCCUUAGAGACGGCCUUAGCAAUCAAUCACAUAUAGGCAAGAAGUAAAAGUUGUUGCCAGCACCAGUCACAAAUUUUGCAAAACAACUUGGGUAAUUUAUCUCUUUUUGCCUUUAUAAACCCUUGCCUCCUUUGUCUUCCGUGGAGCACAUUUUGCUUUUCUGCCUGAAUCUGUGUCUCCUGAAUUGCAAUUCUAAUUGCCCAAAUAAAUAUCUGCUGUUUAAGUUGUAGCAGAUUUUUCCUCAGUUGACACCAAACAGCCUAAGGAUCCAAACAUAUCACUUCCCUGCUUGAAGUCUUUUCAAUUGGAUCCCCACUUCCUACAAGAUAACGUCCAAACUCCUUAACAUGACAUUUAAGGCCCUAUGUGUUCUAAUUUCAAUUUACUUUUCCAGACUUACGUUCUUCUCCCACCAUAUUCUAGACUAUGAAAAUCUAAGUUUAAAAAAAUCAUGUAAUCAAAAAUCCAUUAAGAUUCUGAAUUUUUUUAUUGCUUAUAGUGGGGGAACUGAGAAGAUUUACGUAUGGUAUAAUAAAACAGACAUUACUCAAAUAUAAAUCUAUUACUUAUGGAAAAUAUAUUCUGUGUAUUUCCUUUUGUUAAUGAAGUAGGGAUUCUUUUGACAGCAAGUGACAGAAAUCUAAUUUGAAUUAGCUUUGGCAAAAAUUAGAAAUUAUUGGCUUAUGGAUCCCAAGGAAGAGUUAAAAACAAACCUAAGAGAUGGCCAGCCUGCAGCUGGGCCUCAGGGACAAAUGCAGGAACUUCACUGACAUUAAAAUUCCGUUUGACAGUUGGCUCGGCUCCUCUCUGCAUGUCAGCUUCAUCUGCUCUCACUGCAGACAGGACUUUCCCGCAAAGAAGAAAACAUGGACACCAAUAGCUCUUUGGGUCACUGUCCUUUAACGACAAUGUUAAACGACUCUCUUGAUUCCAGUAUGAAAAAUCCAGAGGAAUGCCUCUGAUUCUACUGGCUUGGGCCAGGUGCCUCUCCCUGGACCCAUCAAGUGUGACCAGGAGAGUGGGGUCAUGUAAGUAGAGAAAAGUUCUGCCUAUAGCCAUGUGGAUGGGAGCAGGAGAGGGGGAGACCAGUUCUCAAGAAAGAGAGCUCCUGGGGAAGGCAGUACCACUGACAUCCAUUACAAACCCCUGGCUGCUAUGGGGCCUAUAUCUCUUCAUGAUUAUUAUUGCAUCUGGUGUCAUGUUUUCCCAGCUGGUGCACCGCUCCCCUGUAGGAGGUUUCUUGAUGUUCACCCUUCUACCAGCCUCCUGCCUGCUCUCCAAAGGUUCAUCCUGCGACCCUGCUCUACAUAGGUAACCUCUUCUAACCAGAUCUGUGAUUAAAUGGAUGUGCUUAAAA